AGAUUGAACGCUGGCGGCAGGCCUAACACAUGCAAGUCGAGCGGUAGAGAGGUGCUUGCAUCUCUUGAGAGCGGCGGACGGGUGAGUAAUGCCUAGGAAUCUGCCUAGUGGUGGGGGAUAACGUUCGGAAACGGACGCUAAUACCGCAUACGUCCUACGGGAGAAAGCGGGGGACCUUCGGGCCUCGCGCCAUUAGAUGAGCCUAGGUCGGAUUAGCUAGUUGGUGAGGUAAUGGCUCACCAAGGCGACGAUCCGUAACUGGUCUGAGAGGAUGAUCAGUCACACUGGAACUGAGACACGGUCCAGACUCCUACGGGAGGCAGCAGUGGGAAUAUUGGACAAUGGGACGAAAGCCUGAUCCAGCCAUGCCGCGUGUGUGAAGAAGGUCUUACGGAUUAGUAAAGCUAACGUUUUAAGGUUAGGGAAGGUAAGGUUUAGUAAACCUAAGUUACGUUGACUAACUUUUGACGUUUAACCGAAC
rnacentral:rRNA from 1 species